AUUAGUGAUCCAAUGCUUAUUUUUGCUAGGGCUGUGCGAGUGGAGCAGACAUACAGAGCACACGUCUAAUUGGGAAUGCAGGGCAUUAAUACUUCAGUGAGCCUAAAAAUGUCUUAAACUACCCAAAGAAUAUGUUGCUGUAUUAAGCAUUGAUUCUUAGACUUUCUAAGAAUGAAACGAUAACAAACUGGUUAAAACAGUGAAAUUUGUUGAAGUCCUAACACCAUGACACCUGUUGCCCAUCAUGCAUUGCAACAGUGGGAAGCCUUAACACUGUGGUAUUAAACUACCAUUACCUGUCAGAUAUAAAUAGACAGUAUCCCACAUAAAUCACCAUACCAGUAGUGGCUUACUGUACUCUCUCCUGCAGAGAGCAGAGUCACAUAAAGGUCUGGUACUGAUUUAUAUGCAAACGUCUACGCAGCUGCUAUAUUUCAGGCUAUGGACUUGCUAAGCAUCACAGGUGAAGUAGCUGAAAUGAAUAGAGACAUGCACUGGACCAUGGUUACCUGUAUUCUGCACUGCCUUAACCUACACGGCACCAGUAUUUGAAGUGUCCUCCAGCCGCGUCCUCUGACUCUGUAUGGGGCAGCACUGGGAGAGGAUUUGUGCAACACCCAGUAGCAGAUCUAAUCCUGGGAUUGAAGAGGCAAGUCUACCACAGUGGUCAAAGAUGAGGUAGCUACCUUGGCUUGGAAAUGCUGCGGUAUCCUACCCUACGGACGGUCACAUUCCAUUAACACCUCUGUUUUUUGUCCCGCCGGCGGGAGCGCCUCCAGUAACAUCACCAGAGUGCAUCCAUCACCAUGGUAACAUUUUGGAGCUUCAAUAGUGAUCAACAAAGUUGUUACAAAAAGACAAAAAACUGCUGUCUGUAUGGAAUAGAUUCCUAAUCACAGCAUUGUAUAGUUUUUUUAUAUUAAAGGUUAUCAUUAAUACUACAGAUAACACUCUAAAAUAAACUGUUUUAAACAUAUGA